CUAGGUCAAGAGGGCUUCC
rnacentral:siRNA from 1 species